rnacentral:tRNA from 1 species
UGUCCUGUAGCACAAUGGGUAGCGCGUUGGACUUCUAAUCCAAAGAUCGUGGGUUCGGAUCCCACCUGGGAAG